rnacentral:rRNA from 1 species
ACGAACGCUGGCGGCUGCUUAACACAUGCAAGUCGAACGGAGUGGCGAACGGGUGAGUAACGCGUGAGCAACCUGCCUAUGACAGUGGGAUAGCCUCGGGAAACCGGGAUUAAUACCGCAUAGUCAUAGAUGGGCUCGCGUCUGAUUCGCUAGUUGGUGAGAUAACAGCCCACCAAGGCGACGAUCAGUAGCCGGUCUGGGAGGAUGAACGGCAACAUGGGAACUGAGACACGGGCCAAACGCCUACGGGAGGCAGCAGUGGGGAAUAGGGAACAAUGGGGGAAACCCUGAUGCAGCGACGCCGCGUGAACGAAGAAGGUAGUCGUAUCGUAAAGUUCUGUCCUAUGGGAAGCAGUACCAUAGAAGAAAGCUCCGGCUAAAUACGUGCCAGCAGCCGCGGUAAUUC